GCGGACGGGUGAGUAACGCGUGAGAAUCUGCCCUCAGGACGGGGACAACAGCUGGAAACGGCUGCUAAUACCCGAUGUGCCGAGAGGUGAAACAUUUAUGGCCUGAGGAUGAGCUCGCGUCUGAUUAGCUAGUUGGUGGGGUAAAAGCCUACCAAGGCGACGAUCAGUAGCUGGUCUGAGAGGAUGAUCAGCCACACUGGGACUGAGACACGGCCCAGACUCCUACGGGAGGCAGCAGUGGGGAAUUUUCCGCAAUGGGCGCAAGCCUGACGGAGCAAGACCGCGUGCGGGAGGACGGCCUAUUGGUUGUAAACCGCUUUUGAUAGGGAAGAAGUUCUGACGGUACCUAUCGAAUCAGCAUCGGCUAACUCCGUGCCAGCAGCCGCGGUAAUACGGAGGAUGCAAGCGUUAUCCGGAAUUAUUGGGCGUAAAGCGUCCGUAGGUGGUUGUUCAAGUCUGCUGUUAAAGCGUGCGGCUUAACCGCAUACCAGCAGUGGAAACUGGGCAACUAGAGUGCGGUAGGGGUCAGGGGAAUUCCCAGUGUAGCGGUGAAAUGCGUAGAUAUUGGUAAAACACCGGUGGCG
rnacentral:rRNA from 1 species